GUGCAAGUCUCUGAAGCAAGAAAAUCAUGGCACAUUCGGGAAAGAAUGAAACUUCAUGGAAAAUUUAGCGCAAGACUUGCCGACUCUCUCUAUGGCCACCUUGUCAUCAUUCUUGAUAACUUCACCAGACCUAUAUAUACCCAUCCAGUUGCUCAGCCUCUAGUCUCUUCACUUCCAAUCACUGUACAAAAAGGCAGAGUGAGGGAGAAUUCGUUCUCUCUGGCUGUCUUAGAGCUAGGAUGUCAGUCUUCUCCUACUUUUGGACACGGACUGAAACUGUAUCAUCAGUUCUCAUGGUUCUCAGGCCUUCAGACAAGACUGGAACUACACCUUCGGCUCUCCUGGGUCUUCAGCUGGCCAAGUGCAGAUCUGGGGGCUUCUCAGCCUCCAUAACUGUGGAAAUCUCAGCAACAACAAGAGACAAGAAAACUAACAUGCACAAGAGAUGAAAAACGUGGAGUUGUGAUGGCCUUUGAGUCCCUGGUGCCAGCUGUUUCUGUGGCUCAACCUCAAACCCAUCUACCCUUUACAAUGUUUCCUUCCAAUCCAUAGGCCUCUGUAACUUUCAAACAAGAAUGCUAACAUCUUUAACAUCUCUUAACAAUUAAUCUUCAAAUAUCUGUUCUCCACUGUAUUCAUUAGCAGAUUCCAUAGCAAGACAGGAUUCCAGGGAAUGCUUCAUAAUGCUAAAAAUUAUUGCAGAAAUUUAUUCCACACCAAGAAUAAAGUUGUAUGACACCCAACAUGUUAUUGAAUAAAUAAAUAUUCUAGUCAACAGAAAUGAAAAGUCAUCAAGAGACAUUAAGAAUGUUAAGAAUAGAGAAAACAAUGUCAAUAAGGAUUAGAUAGAGGCCGUUAAAAUUUUGACAUACAAUGGCACAAACUUACUUUAUUGGCCUUAUGGAGUCAGCUAAUUUCUCUUCCUUAACUGUCCUCUGCUGAACAUGUCCUCCUUCCACAGCUUUGAUACAUAUUUCUCAAUAUAUUUGACAAAUAUUUAUUGAGCAUCUUUCAUAUGCCAGGCAGUGUAACAAAAACAAGUGGCUACAAAAAUCAAUAAGACUUACAGUUCUUGUUCUCAAAGGUUGUACAAUCUAGGGUAUACACAUCCACAUAUACAAAUAUAUAUAUAUUUGGAUAGAUAGAUAGAUAAGUAGAUAGAUAUGGGUAGGUUCUGAGUGUGAAAAUUCUUGUUCUCCAAUUGGAAUUGUUAUAUUGUAUGUGACAAUAUAUUAUAACAGGGAUCCAGGCUUGAAUGUAAGGUAGCUUCAUCCUAGGAUUUACGUAUAUCUGGAGAUACCUGGAAAGCUGUGGGACAGGAAUUCUAGAGGAUUAUUUAUUUGAGAGGUGAGAAGACUACAGGAAAAGAAUUCAUCCUGAAGGCAGAGAAAAUCAAAGACCAAUCACAUAGUCGUACUCACUAACAGUUUUCCUCCAGCUCAGCCCCAUGGAGUCCUGAAUACCACGAAGGGUAAAAACUAAAAGGAAGAGGCAUUUCAUGCACCAAAAUCUCCAUGGGUCAUUGAGAGUGCUGGUCAACCUCAUUAUCACUGUUGGUGGCUUUGGCAACAGCAGGACGACGCAACCGUCAGUUAUCCACAUUGAACAAUAUCAACAUUGAGCAACCAAAAGGGGAUGACAAGACCUCAACACCAAUGACUUUAUAAGUAGGGGUGACAUAAUGGCCACUUUUGGUGUCAUUACCACAACGAGCCCGAAAGGGAGAAAAUACAGUACCCGACACGGUAGUCAAGAGGACCACUUCCCAGUCACGUGUGAGCCCACUUUGUAGGGAGGCCCAGAACUAUUUGAGAGAAAUGUAUGAGGACUGGACUUCUACCAAGGAGAAAGGAGAAGACAGAGGAUUCCUGUUUUAUGACUGUUUUUGUCAUCUCGUUUUUGUCACUGAGUUGGUUUAACCUAGGGAACAAGGGUUGAUUUUAAAAAGUACAUUUUUCUAAGAAAUAGUAAA
ensembl:lncRNA